rnacentral:rRNA from 1 species
AUUAUUGAAAUAAACCUGAUGGGUUGCUGCUGGUUUGUUAAUGAACAUGUGCACAUCUAUCAUCUUUAUGUUUCCACCUGUGCACCUUUUGUAGACCUGGAGCAAUCGAGUUCUGGGUCUAUGUAAUAUAUAUAUACUCAUGUUAUAGAAUGUAAUAAGUGGGCCUUUGUGCCUAUAACACUAUACAACUUUCAGCAACGGAUCUCUUGGCUCUCGCAUCGAUGAAGAACGCAGCGAAAUGCGAUAAGUAAUGUGAAUUGCAGAAUUCAGUGAAUCAUCGAAUUUUUGAACGCACCUUGCGCUCCUUGGUAUUCCGAGGAGCAUGCCUGUUUGAGUGUCAUUAAUAUAUCAACCCUCUAGCUUUGAGUGUUGGAUGUGGGGGCUCUUUGCUGGUCUUUUAAAGAGGUCAGCUCCCCUAAAAUACAUUAGCAAAACAUUUUGUUAAUCGUUCAUUAGUGUGAUAAUUAUUUACACUAUUGACGGUUAGGCAAGUUUAGCUUCUAAUAGUCUGUUGACUUGUUUAUUAAUGUGACCUCAAAUCAGGUAGGACUACCCGCUGAACUUAAGCAUAUCAAUAAGCGGAGGAAAAGAAACUAACAAGGAUUCCCUUAGUAACUGCGAGUGAAGUGGGAAAAGCUCAAAUUUAAAAUCUGUCAGUCU